ensembl:lncRNA
ACUUUCGCUUGCUGCCGGGAGAGGAGUGGGUGUGCUUUCCAAGCCAGGUGCCUUCAUCAAGGAUUAUAAAAACCCAUUUGAACUGGGAUGGGACUCUAUUUAGCCUCAAGCACAUGAACCAUGAGCACUACAAAAGAAGAACAAAGAGUUGCUAUAGUGGCCGUGAUGCAACUAGAAUACAUCCAAGCAUAAAUUCCUGGAAUAUUGAGAGUAAAACUGAAAGAAGAAUCCAUUACAAGAUGGGAUGAGAAAAGUUUGGUCCUUUGAGGUUUAGCUUCGAAGUUUGAAUACAAUAAAGAUAACGAAGAAAAAGACAAAUGUAGUUGUGUCAACAGCCUGAGAGAAGGAUUCAGAAUAUGAUCCUUUUCUCUCUCAGAUAAUUUGAAAUAAUAAAGCCUAUUUACUCUGGAAACUGACUGUACUCAGGGACAGGAGCAGUAAAAAAUGAAGAACUACAGUUUUGAAUGCUUCCUAACACCAUUUGUACAGUGUGUCAUGUUGUUCUAUGAGUUCUGUUCAUCUGUGAUGUAGAGGAUCUCAUCUCAUCAGUAAGUAAGAAUUCAAAUUAUUCUUACUGGCAACUUCAUCAUUAUCUGUACUAAUAACAAGGUUGUAGAAGCUAUGUGUCAGUAACUUAGUCACAUAUUUGACACAAUAUAUGUAGUGAAUACUUAGUUAAUCUGAGUUGCACUGAACUUCUGCUAUAUUUACAUUUAACUAUAUGUGCUUUUUUUGUUUUGUUUUGUUUUGUUUUGUUUUGUGGGUUUUUUUUUUUUUUUUUUUUUGUACUAAACAUUCUCUAACCUCAGUUUUAGAAUUCAGUGCACAUUUAUUUAAGGUUUAUGUUAAGUUCAUCCCUGACAACAAGUGAAAUUUAAAACUACAUGUGUUAGACAUGUUUCAACGUAUAACUACAGACAGCAGUAGACUAUUGAAUCUAUAACCUCAGAGAUUAUUCUUGUAGAAGGCAGACAAAAAACAAAAGCAGAAACAAACAACAACAACAACAACAACAAAACAAAAUGAGUGUUAUUUUCUGUGAAUGAUUUUCUGGAGUAUCUUUUCCACUGUUUUCUAUUAUUUUCCUGCACAACUUUAAUUUUUUAUGUGAUUCACAUUCUGAUAGAUCUGUAUUAUCUGUAAUUGUCUUCUCCAAUAUGUAAGAUGUACUCAUUUCUUCUUUUUCUCUUCAUAUCAUAUACUUAUGUUUUAAAAAGUGUUGAAAUACAUACAAUGAAUAGCAGAAAUUCAAGGAGGCCAAUGACAUUUUCCCACAGGUCUACCUACUGACUGCUAUCAUAAUGAAGUAUUUUUUCCUAUGUUAAUAACGAACACAUGCUAUUUGGAUGAAAAGACAGUGAUACAUCUGGUAGACAGAAAGUAUCUAGAACUGUAGACAUCUUUCUUACUGAUGCAUGCACACACACACACAAACAGAACCUGAGUGGAUAAACUUACAAUUUUAAGAUGGAAUAACGUCUUUCAAAAUAUUUUUCUUCUCAUACCAGUCAAAUGGCAUAUCUUUGUUACAUGUCUAUGCUACACAAUUCCAUACUAAAACACUUACUGUUUAUUAUUUCUACCUUUUGUAUACUCCUCUGGAAAAGUGUCAAGAAAGGAAAAAGUAGACUGUGAGUCUGCUUGUGAGUAGAAGUGAACAACAUUUUCAGUAUGAAGAUCCUGUACAAUCGAGUACAAUACUUGUUCAGUGCAGCCUUUGAAGGAUCUAGCCCAUUAACUUAAAUAUAUAUAUAUAUAUAUAUGCUUAGUGUAGAUUUGAUAACUGUAUUACACAGGUUUAGAAAUUGCCUGUCACUUCAAAAUACUUCUUUUUCUGAGGAAAAUAAAUAAUAUGCAAAAGAGCUCUUUGUUGGUAAUAUUCAGUGAGAUAACUCUGCAUUACUUGAGAACAUCUUUGGAAGAAUAACUUUGCAUACAUAAAGAUGAGAAUCAUAAUUCAUUCUAUAAUAAAUAAAAGAAAG